rnacentral:rRNA from 1 species
CAAUGGGCGCAAGCCUGACGGAGCAACGCCGCGUGAGUGAUGAAGGUCUUCGGAUCGUAAAACUCUGUUAUUAGGGAAGAACAAACGUGUAAGUAACUGUGCACGUCUUGACGGUACCUAAUCAGAAAAGCCACGGCUAACUACGUG